GGGCCUGUGGCUCAAGUGGUAGAGCGCUUCCCUUGAGCUGAAGAGCUGAGGGACAGCGCCCAGGCCCA
rnacentral:tRNA from 1 species